GCCGAUGUGGUGGAACUAGGUAGACACGCACGUUUGAGGGGCGUGUGGGGAAACCCGUGCGGGUUCAAGUCCCGCCGUCGGCACCA
rnacentral:tRNA from 2 species